GACGAACGCUGGCGGCGUGCUUAACACAUGCAAGUCGAACGGAAAGGCCCUGCUUGCAGGGUACUCGAGUGGCGAACGGGUGAGUAACACGUGGGUGAUCUGCCCUGCACUUCGGGAUAAGCCUGGGAAACUGGGUCUAAUACCGGAUAGGAGCCAUUUUUAGUGUGAUGGUUGGAAAGUUUUUUCGGUGUAGGAUGAGCUCGCGGCCUAUCAGCUUGUUGGUGGGGUAAUGGCCUACCAAGGCGGCGACGGGUAGCCGGCCUGAGAGGGUGGACGGCCACAUUGGGACCGAGAUGCGGCCCAGACGCCGACGGGAGGAAGAAGUGGGGAAGAUUGAACAAGCGGCGCAAGCCUGAUGCAGCGACGCCGCGUGGGGGAUGACGGCCUUCGGGUUGUAAACUCCUUUCGCUAGGGACGAAGCUUUUUGUGACGGUACCUAGAUAAGAAGCACCGGCUAACUACGUG
rnacentral:rRNA from 1 species